rnacentral:rRNA from 1 species
CCUACGGGAGGCAGCAGUGGGGAAUAUUGGACAAUGGGCGAAAGCCUGAUCCAGCAAUUCCGCGUGUGUGAAGAAGGCCUUCGGGUUGUAAAGCACUUUAGGUUGGGAAGAAAAAGCUUCGGUGAAUAUCCGGAGUGUUGACGGUACCAACAGAAUAAGCACCGGCUAACUCUGUGCCAGUAGCCGCGGUAAUACAGAGGGUGCAAGCGUUAAUCGGAUUUACUGGGCGUAAAGCGUGCGCAGGUGGUUUCGUAAGUCGGAUGUGAAAGCCCCGGGCUCAACCUGGGAACUGCGUUCGAUACUGCGAGACUAGAGUUUGGUAGAGGGUGGCGGAAUUCCCGGUGUAGCGGUGAAAUGCGUAGAUAUCGGGAGGAACAUCAAUGGCGAAGGCAGCCACCUGGGCCUGAACUGACACUGAGGCACGAAAGCGUGGGUAGCAAACAGGAUUAGAUACCCUGGUAGUCCACGCCGUAAACGAUGAGAACUUGACGUUGGUUCGUUUUACGAAUCGGUGUCGUAGCUAACGCGAUAAGUUCUCCGCCUGGGGAUACGGCCGCAAGGUUGAAACUCAAAUGAAUUGACGGCUGAGACGNGCGAGCGACACGAGGAGAG